rnacentral:rRNA from 1 species
CAUGGUUGUCGUCAGCUCGUGUCGUGAGAUGUUGGGUUAAGUCCGCAACGAGCGCAACCCUUGUCUUAUGUUGCCAGCACGUGAUGGUGGGGACGUCAUGAGAGACUGCCGGGGUUAACGUCGGAGGAAGGUGGGGAUGACGUCAAAUCAUCAUGCCCCUUAUGUCCAGGGCUUCACACAUGCUACAAUGGUCGGUACAACGCGUGUGCGACACUGUGAGGUGAAGCUAAUCGCUCUAAAGCCGGUCGUAGUUCGGAUUGGGGUCUGCAACUCGACCCCAUGAAGUCGGAGUCGCUAGUAAUCGCAGAUCAGCAACGCUGCGGUGAAUACGUUCCCGGGCCUU